GGGGGCUGAAGAUGAAGUUCUGUUGAUGGAAAAGAGGGGAAGGCUGGGCUGGCGUGAUGGCAACAUGCAAGUUCCUUCACCCAGCUUGGCCCUGCAAAGGAGUAUGGGAGUGUGUCUGCUUGUGAGAAUGGAAAGUAAAUCCACAGUAUGCAAAGGGGUGAGGAAGCUAAUUAACAGAGGUUCAGAAAUGCCAACAGAACUUCAGAAACCACCGCUGACCCUUCUGUAUUAGCCCAGAGGACUGGUGGCCCAUUGGCCUUUAUCUCCUCGUCCUUCCACUCCUUACCUUUCCCUGAACAGCAGAGCCAAUGAUUCUCAGAAACAAAACCUAAGGUGGGAAAGGGGGGAGCCCGUCCGUGUUCAUCUGUAAUCCAGUUCAUUCCCAGCGGAUUUCGAUUUACCAGGAGCAGAUUGCAGUAAUCGUAUAUGUCUGCUUUCCUUCUAACCCCAGUCCUCCCUGAAUCAGGACACCAGUCAGGCUUCCUGGGACAAUAAUAACAAAU